UACGUAGGUGGCAAGCGUUGUCCGGAUUUACUGGGCGUAAAGAGCUCGUAGGCGGUCUGUCGCGUCUGCUGUGAAAACUCAGGGCUUAACCCUGAGCUUGCAGUGGGUACGGGCAGACUAGAGUGCGGUAGGGGAGACUGGAAUUCCUGGGUGUAGCGGUGAAAUGCGCAGAUAUCAGGAGGAACACCGGUGGGCGAAGGCGGGUCU
rnacentral:rRNA from 1 species